UCUCCGUGUAGCUGUUGCUAUGGUUCUGAUCUGAACUAACCAUCCAAGUGCCCCUGUGCAGACGGCUCAGCCUCCAACCUGUGACUCUUGGGAAAUCUGGAGGUUUUUCAAGGGACCACGUGGUAACCAGAAAGCUUGCUUCAUAGCGCCCUACGCCACCACAUACCCUGAGCAACAGGUCCAAGCAGCCACUAAGGGAAAUCUCUGAAACCGGGAUCAAUCUGCUCCUUACAAAGCCCUUCACUCCAGCGUGUGCUACAGCCGUGGCAGCUGACACGGAGACCCCAUCUGAGACGACAGGUCUGGGCUGAGCACUUGGGACUGAACAACCUUCUGUGAGAGUUCACCCCUGGAGGAAACUGACUCUUCCUCUCAGCAGCCACUGACUACCUGUUGGAAGUUCAAGGGUGCGGUUUCCCUGUUCUACAGAUAUUACCUCACAGCAGCUGCCUGGACUCCUGGCUCUCACAGUCUUUCCAAGCCCUCACCUCCGUGAUUUUCCCUGAGCCGUAGGGGUUGUGUUGCAGAUGUAUCAGUUGGGGUCGGGCUCCCCCUGUCACAUAUUAUCUGCAUUUUGGCCGGCUGUGGAGCUCUGUAACAGUCUUCCUGCUGGACAAAUAAACUCUUCGAUGAGGGCAUCUGGAUCCCUACCCGAGCUCUGAGAAACGUCCAGGGAGGAAGGCUGAGGACUCAUCUUUUAACUUUUCCUCUUUGAUAAUGGGGAUACACCCAAGACUUGUCUCCUCCUCCUCCUCACUCAGAGUCCUCACUAUGUCCUCCUCCUCAUCCCCAGUCCUCGCUGCCUCCUCUCCCUCCUCCCAGUCCCCACUGUUAGCUCCUCCUCCUUAACUGCUGAGAAAAUCACCCAAGUGUGGAAACUGGACCGUGACAUCCAUGGAGAGAUCCCUUCCCACAUCCAAGUUUCCAGCCAUCUCGGAGGAACCCAGACUCAGCUGCUCUCUACUGUGUUGUCACCCUUGUCACCAUUAACAAGUGGACAUGUGGCCACACAAGACAGAUUCUCUCCUCUGUCCCGUCUGAGCCUGUGCUUCAUUAAUAGACAACCAACCCUCUAGUGUCGGCAGGUUAAUUAUCUGGCCUGGGUUAACAGCGACUUCUACAGCUCUAACUUAGGAAGUGGCCCUCGGACCCUUUGACGCACAGAAAUGGGCACAGCUGUUGCCAAGUGGAGCUUCUCUGUCUCUCUUGCGGUGGGUCAGGCCUUGCUUUGCAAAGGAGGGCAAGCGAGAUGAGCAGGGGGACAAGCAACAGGGCCAGGGCUGAGGAAGAACAGUGCCCUGACAGAGAAUGGCAGUGGGGUCCACUUUAGCCAGAGACAACAGGGCAUCAUUCCGUCACACAAGGAGAUGGUGAAGAGGGUUUUCAUUUAUUGUUCAACUGGUUGCAAGACAGAAUUUCACUGAAUAGACCAGGCUAGCCUUAAACUCACAGAGGUGCUCCUAUCUCUACCUCCCAAAUGCUUGGGUUGAAGUCCUGAGUCACCAUGACCAGUAGAUGAAGGGAUGGUUAUGUGAGAUAACCUGAAAAAGAAGAGUCUGGAACCAAUGAGAUGGCUCAGCAGAUGCCUUCUGCCAAGACUGAGGACCUGAAUUUUGAUCCCUGAGACCCACAAAAUGGUAGAAGAUAACUGACUCCCACAAAUUGCCCUCUGACCCCUGAACACAUACAGUAGGACAAGUA